rnacentral:misc_RNA from 1 species
GUCAUUAUGACGCUGAUAUGAUGCCAUAAAUAAGGCCAACAAAUCUUGCAAUAAUAGAACCUAACAAGAUGCCACAAAUUAUGCUAACAAGCACCAUCAUCACUUCAUUUCAGAUAUUAAUGUAAAAGCAUGUAAUAUACAAAUAGAAGCUUUCAUAUAAAUACCAAUAAAUUUUUAGUGUCAUAGCCCUCAAAACAUUUCAAGAAUUCUUCCUCUGUCAGCCAUGAA